AGCAAUUGAUAAAGCAACUUCUUGGUUUCUUCAUUCCAGAAAUCGUGAGAAUAGAGAUGCCCAAUGUGAACCUUGGUUUGGUUCACGUUAUGUUGAAGAAGACAUUGCUCAAGAUUUAAUGGAGUUAUGGAGAAAUCCUCCAGAAAAUUGAGGCCUCGCUACAUCUUCCAU